AUUGAACGCUUGCGGCAGGCCUAACACAUGCAAGUCGAACGAGUGGCGGACGGGUGAGUAAUGUCUGGGACACUGCCCGAUGGAGGGGGAUACCUACUGGAAACGGUAGCUAAUACCGCAUACACUCGGAUGUGCCCAGAUGGGAUUAGCUAGUAGGUGGGGUAAUGGCUCACCUAGGCGAAGAUCCCUAGCUGGUCUGAGAGGAUGACCAGCCACAGUGGAACUGAGAAACGGUCCAGACUCCUACGGGAGGCAGCAGUGGGGAAUAUUGCACAAUGGGCGCAAGCCUGAUGCAGCCAUGCCGCGUGUAUGAAGAAGUCCUUCGGGUUGUAAAGUACUUUCAGCGGGGAGGCGUUACCCGCAGAAGAAGCAACGGCUAACUCCGUGCCAGCAGCCGCGGUAAUAC
rnacentral:rRNA from 1 species